UGCAAGUCGAGCGGUAGAGAGAAGCUUGCUUCUCUUGAGAGCGGCGGACGGGUGAGUAAUGCCUAGGAAUCUGCCUGGUAGUGGGGGAUAACGUUCGGAAACGGACGCUAAUACCGCAUACGUCCUACGGGAGAAAGCAGGGGACCUUCGGGCCUUGCGCUAUCAGAUGAGCCUAGGUCGGAUUAGCUAGUUGGUGGGGUAAUGGCUCACCAAGGCGACGAUCCGUAACUGGUCUGAGAGGAUGAUCAGUCACACUGGAACUGAGACACGGUCCAGACUCCUACGGGAGGCAGCAGUGGGGAAUAUUGGACAAUGGGCGAAAGCCUGAUCCAGCCAUGCCGCGUGUGUGAAGAAGGUCUUCGGAUUGUAAAGCACUUUAAGUUGGGAGGAAGGGCAGUAAAUUAAUACUUUGCUGUUUUGACGUUACCGACAGAAUAAGCACCGGCUAACUCUGUGCCAGCAGCCGCGGUAAUACAGAGGGUGCAAGCGUUAAUCGGAAUUACUGGGCGUAAAGCGCGCGUAGGUGGUUUGUUAAGUUGGAUGUGAAAUCCCCGGGCUCAACCUGGGAACUGCAUUCAAAACUGACUGACUAGAGUAUGGUAGAGGGUGGUGGAAUUUCCUGUGUAGCGGUGAAAUGCGUAGAUAUAGGAAGGAACACCAGUGGCGAAGGCGA
rnacentral:rRNA from 1 species